rnacentral:rRNA from 1 species
UACGAAGGGGGCUAGCGUUGUUCGGAAUCACUGGGCGUAAAGGGCACGUAGGCGGAUCUUUAAGUCAGAGGUGAAAUCCCAAGGCUCAACCUUGGAACUGCCUUUGAUACUGGAGAUCUUGAGUCCGGGAGAGGUGAGUGGAAUUCCGAGUGUAGAGGUGAAAUUCGUAGAUAUUCGGAAGAACACCAGUGGCGAAGGCGGCUCACUGGACUGGUAUUGACGCUGAGGUGCGAAAGCGUGGGGAGCAAACAGG